UUUAAAGUCUAAUCUGCCCUAUGAGGAGUUAAAUGGCCGCGGUAUUUUGACCGUGCAAAGGUAGCAUAAUAAUUAGUUUUUUAAUUGAAAGCUAGCAUGAAUGAUUGGACGAGAAAAUAGCUGUCUCAAUUUAAUUUUAUUAGAAUUUUAUUUUUAAGUAAAAAAGCUUAAAUAUAAUUAAAAGACGAGAAGACCCUAUAGAGUUUUAUAAUUAAUAUAUUAUAAAUUUUUAAGAAUUUUUUUAUUUAUAUUAAAUUAAUUAUUUUAUUGGGGCGAUAGAAAAAUUUAAUUAACUUUUUUUUAAAAAUUAUAACAUUAAUUUAUGAUUGAUUGAUCCAUUUUUUAUGAUUAUAAGAUUAAGUUACCUUAGGGAUAACAGCGUAAUUUUUUUUUAGAGUUCUUAUCGAAAGAAAAGAUUGCGACCUCGAUGUUGGAUUAAAAUUUAUAUUUGGUGUAGGAGCUAAGUAAUUAGGUCUGUUCGACCUUUAAAAUUUUACA
rnacentral:rRNA from 1 species